rnacentral:rRNA from 1 species
GGGGGCCCGCAAGCGGCGGAGCAUGCGGAUUAAUUCGAUGCAACGCGAAGAACCUUACCAAGGCUUGACAUGAACCGGAAAGACCUGGAAACAGGUGCCCCGCUUGCGGUCGGUUUACAGGUGGUGCAUGGUUGUCGUCAGCUCGUGUCGUGAGAUGUUGGGUUAAGUCCCGCAACGAGCGCAACCCUCGUUCUAUGUUGCCAGCACGUGAUGGUGGGGACUCAUAGGAGACUGCCGGGGUCAACUCGGAGGAAGGUGGGGACGACGUCAAAUCAUCAUGCCCCUUAUGUCUUGGGCUUCACGCAUGCUACAAUGGCCGGUACAAAGGGUUGCGAUACUGUGAGGUGGAGCUAAUCCCAAAAAGCCGGUCUCAGUUCGGAUUGGGGUCUGCAACUCGACCCCAUGAAGUCGGAGUCGCUUGUAAUCGCAUAUCAGCAACGCUGCGGUGAAUACGUUCCCGGGCCUUGUACACAC